UACAGAGGUCCCAAGCGUUGUUCGGAAUUAUUGGGCGUAAAGGGUGCGUAGGCGGCGGAGUAAGUUGGGUGUGAAAUCCCGGGGCUCAACCUCGGAAUUGCAUUCAAUACUGCUGCGCUCGAGUACUGGAGAGGAGGCUGGAAUUUACGGUGUAGCAGUGAAAUGCGUAGAUAUCGUAAGGAAGGCCGGUGGCGAAAGCGAGCCUCUGGACAGUUACUGACGCUGAUGCACGAAAGCGAGGGGAGCAAACGGG
rnacentral:rRNA from 1 species